rnacentral:rRNA from 1 species
GAUGAACGCUAGCGACAGGCUUAACACAUGCAAGUCGAGGGGCAGCAUAAAAGUAGCAAUACUUUGGUGGCGACCGGCGCACGGGUGAGUAACGCGUAUGCAACCUACCUAUCAGAGGGGAAUAACCCGGCGAAAGUCGGACUAAUACCGCAUAAAACAGGGGCACCGCAUGGUGAUAUUUGUUAAAGAAAUUCGCUGAUAGAUGGGCAUGCGUUCCAUUAGGUAGUUGGUGAGGUAACGGCUCACCAAGCCUACGAUGGAUAGGGGAACUGAGAGGUUGGUCCCCCACACUGGUACUGAGACACGGACCAGACUCCUACGGGAGGCAGCAGUGAGGAAUAUUGGUCAAUGGGCGGGAGCCUGAACCAGCCAAGUCGCGUGAAGGAAGAAGGAUCUAUGGUUCGUAAACUUCUUUUGCAGGGGAAUAAAGUGCAGGACGUGUCCUGUUUUGUAUGUACCCUGAGAAUAAGGAUCGGCUAACUCCGUGCCAGCAGCCGCGGUAAUACGGAGGAUCCGAGCGUUAUCCGGAUUUAUUGGGUUUAAAGGGUGCGUAGGUGGUUUGAUAAGUCAGCGGUGAAAGUUUGCAGCUUAACUGUAAAAAUGCCGUUGAAACUGUCGGACUUGAGUGUAAAUGAGGUAGGCGGAAUGCGUGGUGUAGCGGUGAAAUGCAUAGAUAUCACGCAGAACUCCGAUUGCGAAGGCAGCUUACUAAGCUACAACUGACACUGAAGCACGAAAGCGUGGGGAUCAAACAGGAUUAGAUACCCUGGUAGUCCACGCAGUAAACGAUGAUUACUAGCUGUUUGCGAUACACAGUAAGCGGCACAGCGAAAGCGUUAAGUAAUCCACCUGGG